CCGCGAGGUGCCUGGCAACCACACUGCAGGAGUUCUCCCAUGGAACAGGCCUGCGUGACAGCGUGGCUGGCGCCGGCUGCGGUAAUAGCAAACACGAAGGCUGUCUCUCGAAUAUCUGCGGAGGAAGGACAGAGCCCAGGCCAGAGAAAGCACCUCCCUUCAGGCCUCUCCCACACUAACCCUGCUGCAAGACGCGCCCAAAGGCCUUGCUGUGACUGGAGCAGUUCCAGCGUCGGAAACGGAACUGGAACUGACAUUCUCGGACCCCCAGCCUUGCGCCCCGGGCGAGCUCUGCCACCACUUCCGGCUCUGCCUGGCACAGCUCAGCCUGCCGUCCCGCCAGCCGCCUGGCCUUCCUGCAGAUGCUGGUGGGAUCCAUGACCAGAGGGCUACCCACAGCCCUGGGGAACAGAACAGCAGUGUCGAUCAAGGUCUCCUUCUCCAUUCAGCUGACCAGGGACAAGAGCACCCUGUAGGACCCAUCUCCUCGCCCAGCUGGGUCACUGAGGCCAACUGGACCACACAGACCACGUGAGUGAGUGCCUAACCUGCUAAGAAAGUCUCACAGCAAGCAUGCGUUCUCAGUCUCUCUACCCCUCCUCCAACUCCUUACCCCCACGAUCCUUCAUCUGACCCCACCUCCUAGGAGCCAGCAGAGGGAGCUCUGAGCC